rnacentral:rRNA from 1 species
GACGAACGCUGGCGGCGUGCUUAACACAUGCAAGUCGAACGGAAAGGCCCUGCUUUUGUGGGGUGCUCGAGUGGCGAACGGGUGAGUAACACGUGAGUAACCUGCCCUUGACUUUGGGAUAACUUCAGGAAACUGGGGCUAAUACCGGAUAGGAGCUCCUGCUGCAUGGUGGGGGUUGGAAAGUUUCGGCGGUUGGGGAUGGACUCGCGGCUUAUCAGCUUGUUGGUGGGGUAGUGGCUUACCAAGGCUUUGACGGGUAGCCGGCCUGAGGGGGGGACCGGCCACAUUGGGACUGAGAUACGGACCAGACUCCUACGGGAGGCAGCAGUGGGGAAUAUUGCACAAUGGGCGGAAGCGUGAUGCAGCAACGCCGCGUGCGGGAUGACGGCCUUCGGGGUGUGAACCGCUUUCGCCUGUGACGAAGCGUGAGUGACGGUAAUGGGUAAAGAAGCACCGGCUAACUACGUG